rnacentral:rRNA from 1 species
UAAUGGCAGGUCAGCAUACUGCCGUGAAUACGUUCCCGGGCCUUGUACACACCGCCCGUCACACCAUGAGAGUUGGAGAUACCCGAAGCCUAUGAGCUAACUUUUAGAGGCAGUAGUCGAAGGUAGAAUCAAUGAUUGGGGUGAAGUCGUAACAAGGUACC